rnacentral:rRNA from 1 species
UCCGACGGUGAGGGGCGAAUGCUGGGGGCGCAAACCGGAUUAGAUACCCGGGUAGUCCCAGCAGUAAACGAUGCCAGCUAUGUGUUGCUGGAACCAUGGGUUCCAGCAGUGCCGAAUGGAAGCCGUGAAGCUGGCCACCUGGGAAGUACGGUCGCAAGGCUGAAACUUAAAGGAAUUGGCGGGGGAGUACCACAACCAGUGGAGCCUGCGGUUUAAUUGGAUACAACGCCGGGAAUCUUACCGGAGGGGACAGCAGUAUGAAGGCCAGGCUAAAGACCUUGCCAGAUCAGCUGAGAGGAGGUGCAUGGCCGUCGCCAGUUCGUACCGUGAGGCAUCCUGUUUAGUCAGGCAACGAUCGAGACCCGCAGUCUUAUUUGCCAGCAUGCCCUUUGGGGUGUAUGGGUACAAUAAGACGACCGCCAGCGCUAAGCUGGAGGAAGGAGCGGGCUACGGUAGGUCAGCAUGCCCCGAAUCCUCCGGGAUACACGCGGGCUA